rnacentral:rRNA from 1 species
CGAGAUCGAAAGCUCCGGCGCCAGAGGAUGGGUCUGCGGCCUAUCAGGUAGUAGUGGGUGUAGCGUACCUACUAGCCUACGACGGGUACGGGUUGUGAGAGCAAGAGCCCGGAGAUGGAUUCUGAGACACGAAUCCAGGCCCUACGGGGUGCAGCAGGCGCGAAAACUUUACAAUGCCGGCAACGGCGAUAAGGGGACCUCGAGUGCCAGGUUACAAAUCUGGCUGUCGUGAUGCCUAAAAAGCAUUGCAUAGCAAGGGCCGGGCAAGACCGGUCCCAGCCGCCGCGGUAACACCGGCGGCUCGAGUGGUAACCGUUAUUAUUGGGUCUAAAGGGUCUGUAGCCGGCCGGAUAAGUCUCUUGAGAAAUCCAGCAGCUCAACUGUUGGGCUUUCAGGAGAUACUGUUCGGCUCGAGGCCGGGAGAGGUGAGAGGUACUUCAGGGGUAGGGGUGAAAUCUUGUAAUCCUUGAAGGACCACCAGUGGCGAAGGCGUCUCACCAGAACGGACCUGACGGCAAGGGACGAAAGCUAGGGGCACGAACCGGAUUAGAUACCCGGGUAGUCCUAGCCGUAAACGAUACUCGCUAGGUGUCGGCCACGGUGCGACCGUUGUCGGUGCCGUAGGGAAGCCGUGAAGCGAGCCACCUGGGAAGUACGGCCGCAAGGCUGAAACUUAAAGGAAUUGGCGGGGGAGCACCACAACGGGUGGA